rnacentral:lncRNA from 1 species
GAGAGGCCCCCCCGAGAGCGCAGGGUGGCACCUCCCUUUGGCUUCCUCGGAGGUUCUUGGGGAAAGGCUGCGCCGGCAGAGCCGCCCCUCCCACCUUCCCCGCCCGCUGCGUUACUUACAUGGCUGCAACUUGUCGGGGCGCAACUUCCCGGCUAGCCUGCGCCCCGCCCCUCGUGACGCCGCCGCGCGCCGGCCCAGCGGCCGGGCGCAGCCGGGGAGCCCUCCGCGCCGCGCGCCGCCGCCUCCCCUACACUGCCGCAGCGCGCCGCAGUCCGGCCUCCCCGCCCAGCGCGGGGAAGGCUGGCUGGCCGCCUCGUCACGUGUCCUCGGCGAUCGCCCAACAGUUCCGGUGGUGAGGAGUCCUUUCCAAAUAUCAGAGAAAUAAAGAAGUCACUUCCCCAGCUGUCAUCAUCUGCCUACACAUUGAGCAAGAAUAUUUCAAGCACUACAGAAAAGACAGUCCUUCGAACCCUAGAAGAUGAUCAGCCAUCUGAUUUUUUCAAGACAGGGAAUAGGGUGAUGAAAUCUCAUCAGAAAAGCACGUUGACGGUUUAUUUUAACCAGGAUUCUUGCGAUUGGAUCAGAGCUGCUGAGGACCAGCAGGGGCUCACUAGAGAACAUAAGCACAAUUUCAUCCCCACGAUUUCUGAUACCCACCCCAACACAGCCUCAUGUUCUAAAUGCUGCAGACAAGAAUCCUGCCGUGUCCCGCAGACGGCGCCCGAGAGUGGAGUCCUGGCCUGCUGUAGUUGGUCACGUCCAAGCCACCCAGUGUCCUGCCAGUCUGGGGACAUGUCACUGUCUUCAGAGAAGUGCCUCUCAUCUCUGGGAGUUGUUGACCUACAUGUUGUGUUUAAACCAACUUAA